AUUGUAGGCACACAUAAGAUCAGGCUUUGAUCAGGCUGAGGCCUCCUCUCAACUUUUUCUGGUGGGUUAACUAGGUACAGUACAUCCAAAUGUGGUAAAAUGCAUGUUUUCUUCCUGUUGAGUGUGACAUUUGGGUUGGCGGCUUCACUGGAUAAUCCAAUACUACGAGAUGAAAACCUUGAUAUUACAGUCAUAAAUAAAGGUUUGAACCUGUUUGAAGGCGAUAUCAAGACU